rnacentral:rRNA from 1 species
AUUGAACGCUGGCGGCAUGCCUUACACAUGCAAGUCGAACGGCAGCAUGGAAGAGCUUGCUCUUCUGAUGGCGAGUGGCGAACGGGUGAGUAAAGCAUCGGAACGUACCGUGUAGUGGGGGAUAACGUAGCGAAAGUUACGCUAAUACCGCAUACGCACUGAGGUGGAAAGCAGGGGAUCGCAAGACCUUGCGCUAUACGAGCGGCCGAUGUCAGAUUAGCUAGUUGGUAGGGUAAAGGCCUACCAAGGCGACGAUCUGUAGCGGGUCUGAGAGGAUGAGCCGCCACACUGGGACUGAGACACGGCCCAGACUCCUACGGGAGGCAGCAGUGGGGAAUGUUGGACAAUGGGGGAAACCCUGAUCCAGCCAUGCCGCGUGAGUGAAGAAGGCCUUCGGGUUGUAAAGCUCUUUCGGCUGGGAAGAAAUCGCACAGGCUAAUACUCUGUGUGGAUGACGGUACCAGCACAAGAAGCACCGGCUAACUACGUGCCAGCCGCCGCAGUAA